rnacentral:rRNA from 1 species
CUCGGGGGGCUGCAGUGGGGAAUAUUGGACAAUGGGCGAAAGCCUGAUCCAGCCAUGCCGCGUGUGUGAAGAAGGCCUUCGGGUUGUAAAGCACUUUCAGUGGGGAAGAAAGCCUUGGGGCUAAUACCCUCGAGGAAGGACAUCACCCACAGAAGAAGCACCGGCUAACUCCGUGCCAGCAGCCGCGGUAAUACGGAGGGUGCGAGCGUUAAUCGGAAUUACUGGGCGUAAAGCGCGCGUAGGCGGUCUGAUAAGCCGGUUGUGAAAGCCCCGGGCUCAACCUGGGAACGGCAUCCGGAACUGUCAGGCUAGAGUGCAGGAGAGGAAGGUAGAAUUCCCGGUGUAGCGGUGAAAUGCGUAGAGAUCGGGAGGAAUACCAGUGGCGAAGGCGGCCUUCUGGACUGACACUGACGCUGAGGUGCGAAAGCGUGGGUAGCAAACAGGAUUAGAUACCCCAGUAGUC